rnacentral:rRNA from 1 species
UAUACGGAGUCUGACCUGCCCAGUGACUAAGUAGUUUAACGGCUGCGGUAUCCUGACCGUACGAAGGUAGCAUAAUCACUUGCCCCCCAAUUAGGGGCUUGCAUGAAUGGUUUAACGACGAUGUAACUGUCUUUGAUAUAUUAUUUAUAAAUUAUAGUCUAAGUUAAAAUACUUAGGUUACAUCGAAGGACGAGAAGACCCUGUCGAGCUUUAAAGAAUAUAUUUAGGCAAUAUACUAUUUUAUAAAUUAGGCUUUAAGUUUAAUUUUUUUGGUUGGGGCGACCGAGGAACAUAAGAAGCUUCCUUAUGACUCUAAGAAUUACAGUUGUAGAUCCAAUUAGAUAAUUAUUGAUAAGUAAAAUUAGUUACCGCAGGGAUAACAGCGUAAUCCCCUUUGAGAGUUCAUAUCGAAAUGAGGGUUUGCGACCUCGAUGUUGGAUUCGGGUAACCACUGGGUGCAGCAGCCCUGUUAGGUCGGUC